UGUUAACAUGGUUCUGUAUUAAAGAAAAGUGGAAAUGGGGACAUAUUUUGUCAAUUUUAGAAAUGUGGGGCCCACUCUAAUACAGUAACCUCCCUUCUCUGACAUGCUGUUCUGGUCGUCAUGCAUGUUAAUGUCUUAAAGAGGAAGGAAAGGACAGUUCUGUAUCAGCUACUUGUGUUCUGACUACUUUUAAUAUGUAUCAACCACAGAACUUAAACUUACUAGCAGUCUCCACACUACCAGUAAAUUGACUCUCUGUACAGGACCUCUCUCCUUCACUUCACUCUACUGCAGGGUGGGAGAUGCAACAAUGGCCUUGAGAACAGCAGGAAGUGUGUUGGUGGUCUUUCUCUGGUCUGUAGCAGUGGUACAGGGGCAGAAUGGCUGGAGUGUGACUUACACCACUCAGAGUAUCUGUACCUUGAAGGGG